rnacentral:rRNA from 1 species
CAGUAGGGAAUCUUCCGCAAUGGGCGAAAGCCUGACGGAGCAACGCCGCGUGAGUGAUGAAGGUCUUCGGAUCGUAAAACUCUGUUAUUAGGGAAGAACAAACGUGUAAGUAACUGUGCACGUCUUGACGGUACCUAAUCAGAAAGCCACGGCUAACUACGUGCCAGCAGCCGCGGUAAUACGUAGGUGGCAAGCGUUAUCCGGAAUUAUUGGGCGUAAAGCGCGCGUAGGCGGUUUUUUAAGUCUGAUGUGAAAGCCCACGGCUCAACCGUGGAGGGUCAUUGGAAACUGGAAAACUUGAGUGCAGAAGAGGAAAGUGGAAUUCCAUGUGUAGCGGUGAAAUGCGCAGAGAUAUGGAGGAACACCAGUGGCGAAGGCGACUUUCUGGUCUGUAACUGACGCUGAUGUGCGA